rnacentral:rRNA from 1 species
CCCUUAGAUGUUCUGGGCCGCACGCGCGCUACACUGAUGAAUGCAACGAGCUCUACCCCUGACCGAAAGGCCCGGGUAAACUUGUGAAACUUCAUCGUGAUGGGGAUAGAUUAUUGCAAUUAUUAAUCUUCAACGAGGAAUUCCUAGUAAGCGCGAGUCAUCAGCUCGCGUUGAUUACGUCCCUGCCCUUUGUACACACCGCCCGUCGCUCCUACCGAUUGAAUGGUCCGGUGAAAUCUUCGGAUUGCUGACCAAGAUCCAGCAAUGGAGCUUGGUUGCGAGAAGUUGAUUAAACCUUAUUAUUUAGAGGAAGGAGAAGUCGUAACA